GCGGAGGAUCAUUAGAAAUAUCUGGGAUGCUCAAUAUGAGUUCCCAACAAAACACAUUCAUGCGUAUUCUUCCGUGUGUUUCCCCAGGCCAAUGGCCAGUACGUACCAUCUUGGCCCAUAACAGGGUAUCCAGCUGGUGUACAGCCGCGUGUGUCUGGGAAGGCCCAAAUUGGCAAAACUUUAUGUUAACUUACUGUCUGACAAGGCCAUGUGCCCCUGUAUUUUAAAUAUUUUAAAACUUUCAACAACGGAUCUCUUGGCUCUCGCAUCGAUGAAGAACGCAGCGAAAUGCGAUAAGUAAUGUGAAUUGCAGAAUUCAGUGAAUCAUCGAAUCUUUGAACGCACAUUGCGCCCUUUGGUAUUCCUUAGGGCAUGCCUGUUCGAGCGUCACUAAAAACCCCAUCACAUUAUGUGUGGUAUUGGCAGAAGUGGGUACUCCCACCCUGCUGGAAUCAAUAGGCUGGAAAAGUAGAUCGUAGCAACAGACUUUCAGAGUGUUUUGAAAUGCUAAAUUAGUUUGAAGCUGGUCGGAACCCCAGGCCAUUUGACCCCCAUUCUGCACAAAAGCAGUAAAGGUUGACCUCGGAUCANGUAGGGAUACCCCGCUGAACUUUAGCAUAUUCAAUAA
rnacentral:rRNA from 1 species